rnacentral:ncRNA from 1 species
CGAGCGGGAGAGACCUGAGUUAGCCGAGCAAUAUGGCUAGUGUUCAGGCACCGAAGGAGCAAGCUGCUGCGCACCCGGCGCAGUGGUUAAUCUCUCAGGUAAAUGUACC